GACGAACGCUGGCGGCGUGCUUAACACAUGCAAGUCGAACGGAAAGGCCCCCAUCUUGGUGGGCGUGCUCGAGUGGCGAACGGGUGAGUAACACGUGGGUGAUCUGCCCUUUACUUCGGGAUAAGCUUGGGAAACUGGGUCUAAUACCGGAUAGGACCUUGGUUUAGUGUCUCCUGGUGGAAAGAUUAUUUUUUUGGUGCCGUAUGAGCUCGCGCCCUCUCAGCUUGUUGGUGGGUUAAUUGCCUACCAAGGCGUCGACCGGUAGCCGGCCUGCGAGGGUGGACGCACACGAUGGGACUGAGGGACGGGCCAGACACGGACGGGAGGAGGCGGUGGGGAAUAUUGCACAAUGGGCGCAAGACGGAUGCAGCGAGGCCGAGUGGGGGAUGACGGCCUUCGGGUUGUAAACUCCUUUCGUUAGGAACGAAGCCGCACUUUUUUUGGGUGUGGUGACGGUACCUUUGUUAAGAAGCACCGGCUAACUACGUG
rnacentral:rRNA from 1 species